UACGUAGGUGGCAAGCGUUGUCCGGAUUUACUGGGCGUAAAGGGCGUGCAGGCGGUCUGUUUAGUCUAGGGUGAAAGCUCCCGGCUCAACUGGGAGAGGUCCUUGGAAACUGGCAGACUUGAGGGAGGCAGAGGAAAGUGGAAUUCCCGGUGUAGUGGUGAUAUGCGUAGAUAUCGGGAGGAACACCAGUGGCGAAGGCGGCUUUCUGGGCCUUACCUGACGCUGAGACGCGAAAGCGUGGGGAGCGAACCGG
rnacentral:rRNA from 1 species